AAAGUGUAGCUUAAAACAAAGCGUCCGGCCUACACCCGGAAGAUUUCAACCAUCAACGACCACUUUGA
rnacentral:tRNA from 1 species